rnacentral:rRNA from 1 species
GACGAACGCUGGCGGCGUGCUUAACACAUGCAAGUCGAGCGAAUGGAUUAAGAGCUUGCUCUUAUGAAGUUAGCGACGGACGGGUGAGUAACACGUGGGUAACCUGCCCAUAAGACUGGGAUAACUCCGGGAAACCGGGGCUAAUACCGGAUAACAUUUUGAACUGCAUGGUUCGAAAUUGAAAGGCGGCUUCGGCUGUCACUUAUGGAUGGACCCGCGUCGCAUUAGCUAGUUGGUGAGGUAACGGCUCACCAAGGCAACGAUGCGUAGCCGACCUGAGAGGGUGAUCGGCCACACUGGGACUGAGACACGGCCCAGACUCCUACGGGAGGCAGCAGUAGGGAAUCUUCCGCAAUGGACGAAAGUCUGACGGAGCAACGCCGCGUGAGUGAUGAAGGCUUUCGGGUCGUAAAACUCUGUUGUUAGGGAAGAACAAGUGCUAGUUGAAUAAGCUGGCACCUUGACGGUACCUAACCAGAAAGCCACGGCUAACUACGUGCCAGCCGCCGCGGUAA